CUGGGAUGGGUAUGCCCCUUGUCACUGUCACAGCUGCCACCUUCCCUACUCUCUUAUGUCCUCCUAGGGCCUGGGCUGAGGUGGAGGCGCCAGAAGCUCCUGCAUUGCCCGUGGUGCCUGAACUCCCUGAGGUGCCCAUGGAGAUGCCUUUGGUGCUGCCCCCAGAGCUCGAGCUGCUCUCACUGGAAGCAGUGCACAGGUACCAGGGAGGUGGCACCUUGAUGGGGUGGACCCGGGCUGAAGCCUCUGCUAAUGGUUCUUGAUCUCUAUAGGGCAGUGGCACUGGAGCUGCAGGCUAACAGGGAGCCUGACUUCAGCAGCCUGGUGUCACCUCUCAGCCCCCGCAGGAUGGCUGCCCGGGUCUUCUACCUGCUCCUGGUGCUCUCAGCGCAACAGAUUCUUCAC
rnacentral:sRNA from 1 species